rnacentral:snoRNA from 12 species
CCCUCCUACAAAGGCGUGUCUGUGGUUCCCUGUCUUUGGACACGUAAGAACUGGAGGCAAAGCAAUGUGGACUUGGAGAAGUCUGGAGCCAGCUUGCUCCCUGCAGGCUCAAGAUCAACCAUCCCACAUAG